UACGGAGGGUGCAAGCGUUAUCCGGAUUUAUUGGGCGUAAAGGGCGCGUAGGCGGAGUGGCAAGUCAGUGGUGAAAUCUCCAAGCUUAACUUGGAAACUGCCGUUGAUACUAUCAUUCUUGAAUAUCGUGGAGGUAAGCGGAAUAUGUCAUGUAGCGGUGAAAUGCUUAGAUAUGACAUAGAACACCGAUUGCGAAGGCAGCUUGCUACACGAUCAUUGACGCUGAAGCACGAAAGCGUGGGGAGCAAACAGG
rnacentral:rRNA from 1 species